GCUUCGUGCUGCGUUCAGGCAGACGGAGUCGGAGAGGAUUUGACCCGGAGGAGAGCGAACCAGAUGUAUUAUUUACAGCCACGCCGCUCAGCUUUUAUUUUGUUCAUUAUGGUUGAAUUCAGUCUUCACGUGUGUUUGUGAAAGUCGGACGCAUGAGACAAAGAGGAAAAUACGGAAGAAACCGCGCCCCGUAUUGGUUCAACAUUUCAGUCCGGGUCCAUUCCCUAUUUUACGGGGCAGGUGGCAAUUAACCCUAACUAACUUCUGGUAUGCUUUUUGCCAUUUGUCAACAAGGAAGUGCUGUCAGGUGUGGCAUGUUUUAGUUCCUCAUUUCUGUCCUGUUGCGACCAGGGAAAGACCGCAAACUGAGAACUUGGCAAUAAAGAUCCCCAGGAAAAUCAGUGCCAGAGAACUGCUGAUGAGUCACCAGCUCAGUCAGAAGAGGAAGCAUGAGGACUCAUUCAAUACUGAGUACUGGGGGACUUUCACCCCUGACAUGAGUCCUAAUGUGUCCACGCCUUGUCUCCAGUCGCCUCCGGCUCCCAAGUCUCCGAUGACUUUGUUUCACUGGCAAAUCCAACAGGAAGCACAAAGGUUUGAAGGUGUCUCCCCUGAGGUGCUGACAAGCCAGGACAUUGACGGCGACACAUGUCUUCACGUAGCUGUGGCUCAAGGCAGAAGGGCUCUGGCCCACGUUCUGGCUGCCCAGAUGGCAGGCUGCAAUGCUUUAGAGAUGAAGGAGCACAAAGGGCAGACGGCGCUUCAUGUGGCAGCAGCUGCCGAUCAGCACCUGAUUGUACAUGACUUGCUGAUGCACGGCGCACACAUCAACACCAGGGACUCAUGGGGGCGCUCACCUUUACACGUGUGUGCCGAGAAAGGAUUCCAUCUCAGUCUUCAGAGCAUCUGUACGACUUUGUCAGGUGGUGGACAGUGGAUCGAUACAGAAAUGUUCAACUACGAUGGCCUGACUCCACUCCAUGUUGCGGUCCUGUCUCACAAUGCUGCUGAGGCGGAGUUGAGGGCUCUUGAUCACACUUGUGCGCACCUGGAAUGUGAGCUCCUGCAACGUAAACACGUGUACGCUCAAUGCGUGGAGACCCUGCUGAACAUGGGUGCCUCUUGCGGGACUAAGGAUUUAAAGAGUGGACAGACAUGUUUGCACAUGGCUGCCCUAGAAGCCAAUGUUCAACUGUUAGACAUCAUCCUACAGCAGCCGUCUGCAACAAGCAUUGUGAACAUUAAGGUGAUAUCCCUGCAAGACAGCUGGCUUCUCUCCCUGGUAGCUUAUUGUGUGUACACGUACGUGUGUGUGUGUGUGUGUGUGUGUGUGUGUGUGUGUGUGUGUGUGUGUGUGUGUGUGUGUUUCAGACGUUCAGUGGGAACACGGCCCUGCACAUUGUCAGCGCCUUGCAAAACCACCCGACUCAGAUGGCCGCCUUGGCGAUGCUGAUGAGGGCAGGAGCCGACCCCGGGGUCAGAAACAUGGACAAUGAGGCGGCCUGUCAGCUGGUGCCUGCGGGAGACACUGGAGAGAAAGUGCGUCUUAUGCUGAGAGGCCAGCAUUAAGGGUUGAAAACAGACCACUGUCAGUCAGACAGUCCAUAUGCAGAUAUUUGUUGUGCACACGGCAGAUGUUGGUUGUUUCAGUGAAACAAAUCAGAUUGAUGUAAAGCUCAAUGAGCAAACACUUCAUUAUCUGUACCUCAUCAUAUAAACUUUUACUUUAUGCACUACAAUUAACUUGUAUAGUAGCACCUAAAUCAUAGCACACUAAGUGUGAAAAUGAGUUGACUUAACUGUUCUAGAUGUAACAAUGAGUCCACUGAACAGUUUUAAAUGUUAAACUGAGUACACUUAACAGUGCUAAAUGUAGAGAUGAGUCCACUUAAUAGUAUGAUAUGUAAAUAUGAGUGCACUGAACAGUUCUAGAUGUGCAAAUAAGUACAUGUGACAGUACUGGAUGUAACUAUAAGUACAUUUAACAGCGGUAGAUGUAAAAAUUUGUCUGCCUAAUUGUAUUAGAUGUAAAGAUUAGUCUACUUAACAAUCCAUCCAUCCAUUUUCUACCGCUUAUUUCCUUUUGGGGUCGCUGGCGCCUAUCUCAGCUACAAUCGGGCGGAAGGCGGGGUACACCCUGGACAAGUCGCCACAAUACCAGGUGUAAAUACAGUAUAAGUCCACUUAACAGUACUAUGCGUAAAAAUGAAACCACUUCACAUUACUAUGUGUAAACGUCACUAGAUAUGAAUAUGAAUGCACUUAACAGUACUGAAUGUAAAAUCAGCACACUUAUUACUAAAUGUAAAAAAUAAUACAAUUAACAGUACUAGAUAUAAAAAUGAACACACUUAACAGUACACUUAGCUGCAAAAUGUAAACAUCAGUACACGUAACAAUACUGAAUGUAAACUUCAGUACAUUUAAUACUAAAAGUAAAAAUAGUAUACAAAACAGUAUUAAAUGCAAAUAUCAGUACGGAAAUCAAACAUGCGUACGCUCAAGAGUAAUGAUGUAAGAUGAGUGUACUUAGCAGUACUACAUGAAGUGGAGUCCAUCGAAUAUGUCAAAAUUAAUACACUCCUCUGUGCUUGAUGAAAAUAUGACCACACUUUACAGUCCUAGAUGUACAAUGAAUUGAUUAACGUGGACCCUGAUUUAAACAAGUUGAAAAACGUAUUCGGGUGUUAUCAUUUAGUGGUCAAUUGUACUGAAUAUGUACUGCACUAAUAAAAGUUUCAAUCAAUCAGUCAAGUUAAUGCACUAAUAGUACUGAAUGUAAACAUCACUACACUUAACAGUACUUGAUGUUAACAUGAUUCAAUUUAGCAGAACUAAAUCUAAACAUCAGUACGCUUAACUGUACUGAUAUAUAAACAAUAUUACACUUAACAGUACCUAAUGUAAAAUGAGUACACUUAACAUAACUAAAUAGAUAUAUACAUAUAUUGAAUGCAAAACAUAAGUACUCUUAACAGUAGUAAAUGGAAAUAUCAAUACUGAAUGCAAACAUAAAUACAUUAAACAGUACUGAAUGUAAUAUUUAGUACACUUAACAGAAUAGUAUACAAAUAUCAGUACUGAAUGCAAAAUAGAUACACUUAACUGUACUUUGUUAAAAAAUAGUACACUUAAGGGUAUUAAAUGCAAACAUCAGUACACUUAAAAGAACCUAAUGUACAAAUGCAUACUCUUAAUAGUACUAAAUGCAAAUAUCAGUCCUGAAUGCAAACAUAAGUACAGUUAACAGUACUUAAUGUUGAAGUUAGUAUACUCAAACAGAACAUAAUUAUAACAGUUAUAUAUAUGCUGAUUGCAAACAUAAGUACGCUUAACAGUACUAAAAACGCAAAAAUGUGUAUACUUAACUUUACUAAAAUCAAAUGAAUGCAAUCAUAAGUACACAUAACAUAACUGAAUGAAAAUAUCAGCACUGAAUGUAAACAUAAGUACACUUAACAGUACUAAAUGUAAAUAUGUGUAUACUUAACAGUACUGAAAUCAAAUAUUACUGAAUGCAAUCAUAAGUACACUUAAUAGUACUAAAUGUAAAAAUGUGUAUACUUAACAGUACUGAAUACAAAUAUUACUUUAUGCAAUCAUAAGUACACUUAACAGUACUAAUUGUGUAAAAAUAAGUACUAAUUAAAGUGCACAGCCAAUAACAUUUUUUUAUGGGAUUUUUGUUUGACAAUUGCCAAUCAAAUCGGAUGUUAGAGUGGAACCAGCUGAUCAUUAUGUCGACAACAUCAAGUCCCCGUCUACAGUGUUCUUCUAAUUACUUAAUCAUUAUGUCUAUGAAUGUGUGCGUUUAUGUAGCCAUGUCUUGUAGUCUUGUUACCGUCAUUAUCAUCGCAACUACCUAUACUGCAUUAACUCAUGCACAUAACAACUUCCUGUUCAGUGUGAAGCCAGCUUCCAAAUUAAAGCAUGGCAUUAUUUACAUGGAUUCUACCAAAAAAAUAAAAUAAAUACAGCAGUCUUUUUGGAGCUUGUUCACCACCAAAAGAUUUGUGCAAACUCAGUCGUCAAGACACACAAUGAACUUACUGCAGCAGCUCUGAUAGGAAAGAGUAUAAAAUAUAAUACGAAAACACAAUAAAAUUAAAAAUAUGCACAAAGGAAGGAUUUUGGUUGGGUCAACAUAAACAGGGUUCACGGUAUUUUUUUCCUGUCUUUAUAUAGUUUGUACAUUAUUUGAUACUUAUGCUGUAUGACUCAAUUCACACACUAUCAAAAAAACUGUCAGCAGUGGUGUUGGUUGAGGUGAGUUUGUACUACCAUUUCAGAGACACUGAAAAUGUGUAUUGUUUGUUUUAUGUUACAUCUUUUGGACCAUCCAUUGCGUUACUACUUGAAAUGACGCAUAUUUCAUAAUUCCACUCAACGUUUGUAAGUUUUACAAUAUAACUAAAACAAUUCAUACUUACUAAACCAUCCCAUGUGUGAUGUGAUUUAAUGCAUAUUUGUAUGUGCUAUUUCAAUCAAGCUAGCAUUAGCAAAUAUACUAAGUUAGUAUCAUUGACAUUCUUUUUGUGCUGUUUCAGUUUCAUAAAUUCACCAAAAUGUCA